CCUACGGGAGGCAGCAGUGGGGAAUAUUGCACAAUGGGCGCAAGCCUGAUGCAGCAACGCCGCGUGAGGGACGACGGCCUUCGGGUUGUAAACCUCUUUUGGCAGGGAAGCGGUACCUGCAGAAAAAGCACCGGCUAACUACGUGCCAGCAGCCGCGGUAAUACGUAGGGUGCAAGCGUUGUCCGGAAUUAUUGGGCGUAAAGAGCUCGUAGGCGGUUUGUCGCGUCUGCUGUGAAAACGCGGGGCUCAACCUCGCGCCUGCAGUGGGUACGGGCAGACUAGAGUGUGGUAGGGGAGAUUGGAAUUCCUGGUGUAGCGGUGGAAUGCGCAGAUAUCAGGAGGAACACCGAUGGCGAAGGCAGAUCUCUGGGCCAUACUGACGCUGAGGAGCGAAAGCGUGGGGAGCGAACAGGAUUAGAUACCCGAGUAGUC
rnacentral:rRNA from 1 species